rnacentral:rRNA from 1 species
GGCCUCUUGCAACCCUCAAAUAAGAGGUCCAACCUGCCCAGUGACAAUAAGUUUAACGGCCGCGGUAUUUUAACCGUGCUAAGGUAGCGUAAUCACUUGUCUUUUAAAUGAAGACCCGUAUGAAAGGUGUCACGAGGGCCCUCCUGUCUCCUACUUCAAGUCUGUGAAAUUGAUCUGCCCGUGCAGAAGCGGGCAUUAUAACAUAAGACGAGAAGACCCUGUGGAGCUUAAGACCCACCAACCAAUCGUGCCUAACAGCUUAUCCCCCCUAACAGGAAAUAAAAAGCUAAGCAAGCACAACGACCUCUGGUUGAACUGUCUUCGGUUGGGGCGACCAUGGGGGACAGAAAAGCCCCCAAGAGGAAGCAGGGGACCAGUUUAACCGAUCCCUAAGAGCCAAGAGACACCACUCUAAGCAACAGAAAUCUUUGACCAAUAAUGACCCAGGCACCAGCCUGAUCAACGAACCAAGUUACCCCAGGGAUAACAGCGCAAUCCUUUCCCAGAGCCCAUAUCGCCGAAAGGGUUUACGACCUCGAUGUUGGAUCAGGACAUCCUGGUGGCGAAAAUUCUACCAAGGGUUCGUUUGUUCAACGAUUAAAGUCCU